UACAUGCAAGUCGAACGGCUCUUCGGAGCAGUGGCGGACGGGUGAGUAACGCGUGGGAGCGUGCCCAAAGGUACGGAACAACUGAGGGAAACUUCAGCUAAUACCGUAUGUGCCCUUAGGGGGAAAGAUUUAUCGCCUUUGGAGCGGCCCGCGUUGGAUUAGCUAGUUGGUGGGGUAAAGGCCCACCAAGGCUACGAUCCAUAGCUGGUCUGAGAGGAUGAUCAGCCACACUGGGACUGAGACACGGCCCAGACUCCUACGGGAGGCAGCAGUAGGGAAUCUUGCGCAAUGGGCGAAAGCCUGACGCAGCCAUGCCGCGUGAAUGAUGAAGGUCUUAGGAUUGUAAAAUUCUUUCACCGGGGAAGAUAAUGACGGUACCCGGAGAAGAAGCCCCGGCUAACUUCGUGCCAGCAGCCGCGGUAAUACGAAGGGGGCUAGCGUUGCUCGGAAUUACUGGGCGUAAAGGGCGCGUAGGCGGACAGUUUAGUCAGAGGUGAAAG
rnacentral:rRNA from 1 species